rnacentral:rRNA from 1 species
GAUGAACGCUGGCGGUGUGCCUAAUACAUGCAAGUCGAGCGAACAGACGAGGAGCUUACUCCUCUGACGUUAGCGGCGGACGGGUGAGUAACACGUGGAUAACCUACCUAUAAGACUGGGAUAACUUCGGGAAACCGGAGCUAAUACCGGAUAACAUGUUGAACCGCAUGGUUCAACAGUGAAAGACGGUCUUGCUGUCACUUAUAGAUGGGUCCGCGUCGCAUUAGCUAGUUGGCAAGGUAACGGCUUACCAGGGCAACGAUGCGUAGCCGACCUGAGAGGGUGAUCGGCCACACUGGAACUGAGACACGGUCCAGACUCCUACGGGAGGCAGCAGUAGGGAAUCUUCCGCAAUGGGCGAAAGCCUGACGGAGCAACGCCGCGUGAGUGAAGAAGGUCUUCGGAUCGUAAAACUCUGUUAUUAGGGAAGAACAAAUGUGUAAGUAACUAUGCACGUCUUGACGGUACCUAAUCAGAAAGCCACGGCUAACUACGUG